rnacentral:lncRNA from 1 species
CCCCGCGCAGCUCGUGUCCACGCGCGGACUACGGCUCCCAGGAUGCAGCGGGCGCGGAGCCCUUUGUCUCUCCCCCUGCAGCGGCCGAUCGGGCUGGAGAAGUUCCCCAGUCGGCGGCCAUAGGGGAGCCGGGCGCGGGCAGCCAGCGCCCCUCGCCAGCCGGGCGCAGCGCAGAGCAGCGCAGCGCAGCGGGCUCCAGUGGCCUCGACGCAGAAAGCCCAGCUCAGAUGGAGCGAGGGGACAGGCUGCGUGUGGGCGAUCGCAGGGAGAGGAGAGAGAGGGGAACGCCUGACGCCUAUGGCACAGGUUCUGCUGACCUCAGACCCCAGGUGUUUAUUAAAAUGGAGCAGGAAGAGGAGCCAUGCAUGGGGGGGCCCCCAGAGCAGAGAGAGACAGGAAUUCUCCAUGCCCCUGGCACAGGCACAGGCUGGCCUGACGUGAAGCAUGAGAUUGUGGUGAAAGUGGAGCCAGAUGACGAGUCAUAUGUGGGGUAUCCCCAAGGCCUAGGGGACCGAGACCUCCCCGGCUACCCCAGCACUGGUAUCAAAGCAGAGAUCGUGGUCAAAACAGAGCCCGAGGACGAUGCCUACGGCGAGUGUGCCCAGCAUUACGGUGAAGGAGACGGUCCCAACGACCCCUUCUGUGACGCAAACCCAGAGAUUAUCGUGAAAGUGGAGCCAGACGAUGAGUCGGCCAUUGGCUAUCCUCAGGACCUGAGCGAAGGCAGAAUUCCUGGCUACCCCAGCCCAGGUGAGCCAUGCGGAUCCCCAGAGCAGCUCUGGGGACAGGAAGAGCUGGAAACUCAGGGGGGCCCUGUACGAAAUUGGCGAGCCAGGCUCGCUGUAUUGUGCCGGCUCCUGGCACAUGGAUCCUGCAUAGCCACUGGCUGCAGUGGAGCCCAGAACUGCAAAUUUCCCUGCCCUCGUGAGCGAGAGACCGCCCCACUCCAGGGGGGCCGG